rnacentral:lncRNA from 1 species
GGGAGCUCCCUCUCCUCCCCCGCGCCCUGUCAACAAGACUGAUGAAUUCAAUACCCCCCUCUCCCCAGCUGACAGCCCUGGAGAGCUGACUCCAAUCAGCAGGCCCCCCUAGUCGCCUGACUCAGGCCUCCCCAAUCAGAGGCGGGGUCUGCCGAGGAGGACAGACAGACAGGUCUGGAGAGGCUGGAAAACUCUCCAUGAUGCUAUUCAGAUAAAGAGAGAACCUCUUUUGAAAGCUCUGUUUUCUUGGCGGCCAUUCCUGAAGCCUUGAGUGUUGGAGAAGGUGGAAGGGCAGUAACUCAUUCCAGGCCUUGGAUUGGACCAUUCCAUAUUCCACACACAGUGCCAGUACUUCAAACAGCCCUUUGAGGAACAAGGAAACGUUCUUUGGGGACACAGUGAGGACACCCAACAGCCAAGGACACCGGGAAGAAGCAAAGGGUCCCGGAGUUCUCUAGAACCUGCUGGAAACUGCCUUUUGUCAAGUGUUCAGGGAGACGUGCUCCACGCUCAGCCUAGAGGAGCAGCCCCGGCCCUGGGAACAGUGGUGAGGACACAGUGCAAGCUGUAGCUACGGUCACCCUGACACCAUACGUGGGGGUGUCCAGCCUCGUGUCUGUCAGACGCCGGUGUGCCCUUUCUCAGCCAGGCCGAACUGCUCCAUCCUCCUGGAUAAACAUCAUACACUUUCCUCAUCUUGCUUGUCUGUAGCCCUUUCCCACCUAUAUGUGCUUAUCCUUCAGGGCCCGACCGAAUGUCGCCUCUUUUGGGAAGCCUUCCUUGAUUGCCUCAGGCAGUGGCUUAUGUCCGCCUUCUGAGAGCGCACGUUGUUUUCACCUUGCGUAUCUGCACGCCUGACAAAUCGUCUUACACAUAUUGGUAAAGGAAUAGUCCGAUUUACCUAAAUGUUGUUAUUAUUGAGAAGGGUUAUAUAAUCUUUUAAUGGUGUAUAUGUUCAUGGAUAAGAUUCAAAAGAUUUUUUGUUGAACCCUGCGAUGUAGUUUUUUGGUCCAGGUGUGUGGUGACUGCCCCUAUCCAAACCUGCAUUCAGGUGACAGGUAACAUGCUGUGAGUGACAUGUCACUUGGCUGUGAUUGUGCUAAACUCUUUAGCAAGCCUCUAUCCUGAUUCUCCAUUAAAAUAAAGAAAUCAUUAAAAUAAUGAUUCUCCA